rnacentral:rRNA from 1 species
GACGAACGCUGGCGGCGUGCUUAACACAUGCAAGUCGAACGGAAAGGCCCUGCUUUUGUGGGGUGCUCGAGUGGCGAACGGGUGAGUAACACGUGAGUAACCUGCCCUUGACUUUGGGAUAACUUCAGGAAACUGGGGCUACUACCGGAUAGUAGCUCCUGCUGCAUGGUGGGGGUUGGAAAGUUUCGGCGGUUGGGGAUGGACUCGCGGCUUAUCCGCUUGUUGGUGGGGUAGUGGCUUACCAUGGCUUUGCCGGGGAGCCGGCCUGAGAGGGUGAACGGGCACACGGGGACUGAGAUACGGCCCAGACUGCUACGGGGGGCAGCAGUGGGGGAUAGUGCACAAUGGGCGGAAGCCUGAUGCAGCGACGCCGCGUGGGGGAUGACGGCUUGCGGGUGGUAAACCUCUUUCGGCGGGGGACAAGGCUCUGCUUGGUGGUGGGGUUGAGGGUACCCGGUGAAGAAGCGCCGGCUAACUACGUG